UUAAAACAUAAAUACUCUAUAGCUCAAUUGAUUCAUCUAACUCAAACAACCCCUAAAUCAUGAAAUUGUACUCCCCUUCAAACUCUUUCUAUCAUUAAAGAAUCUCAUAUGGUUAAUCUUUAAGUCUCAAGCUUGAAAAGCAAUUUAUAUGCUUCUUAGUGAAGAAUAAAAUGAACUUCUUAAAGAAUCAGAUUUAGACUUUACUUUUCUUAAUUCAAAUCCAAAUUAUGUACCUAAUCUUAGCUAACAACAAUUAAAACAAGUAGACAUAUAGAAGCAAUAUCAAAAAUUGUUUCUCUCUUCUCACCUCUAUCCCUUGUUCUCAUCCAAUAAAUCUUGACU
rnacentral:lncRNA from 1 species